UCGGAAUUGCUAGUAAUCGCAGAUCAGCAUGCUGCGGUGAAUACGUUCCCCGGGCCUUGUACACACCGCCCGUCACACCAUGGGAGUCGGUAACACCCGAAGCCUGUAGUCUAACCGCAAGGAGGACGCAGUCGAAGGUGGGGAUUGAUGACUGGGGUGAAGUCGUAACAAGGUACC
rnacentral:rRNA from 1 species